AUUGAACGCUGGCGGAAUGCUUUACACAUGCAAGUCGAACGGUAGAGGGGGCAACCCCUCGAGAGUGGCGAACGGGUGAGUAAUAUAUCGGAACGUGCCCAGUCGUGGGGGAAACGUAGCGAAAGUUACGCUAAUACCGCAUACGAUCUACGGAUGAAAGCGGGGGACUCGCAAGAGCCUCGCGCGAUUGGAGCGGCCGAUAUCAGAUUAGGUAGUUGGUGGGGUAAAGGCUCACCAGCCAACGAUCUGUAGCUGGUCUGAGAGGACGACCAGCCACACUGGAACUGAGACACGGUCCAGACUCCUACGGGAGGCAGCAGUGGGGAAUUUUGGACAAUGGACGCAAGUCUGAUCCAGCCAUUCCGCGUGCAGGAUGAAGGCCCUCGGUUGUAAACUGCUUUUGUACGGAACGAAAAGGUUUCUAUUAAUACUAGGAGCUCAUGACGGUACCGUAAGAAUAAGCACCGGCUAACUACGUGCCAGCAGCCGCGGUAAUACGUAGGGUGCAAGCGUUAAUCGGAAUUACUGGGCGUAAAGCGUGCGCAGGCGGUUAUGUAAGACAGAGGUGAAUCCCCGGGCUCAACCUGGGAACUGCCUUUGUGACUGCAUAGCUAGAGUACGGUAGAGGGGGAGGAAUUCCGCGUGUAGCAGUGAAAUGCGUAGAUAUGCGGAGGAACACCGAUGGCGAAGGCAUCCCCUGGACCUGUACUHACGCUCAUGCACGAAAGCGUGGGGAGCAAACAGGAUUAGAUACCCUGGUAGUCCACGCCCUAAACGAUGUCAACUGGUUGUUGGGUCUUCACUGACUCAGUAACGAAGCUAACGCGUGAAGUUGACCGCCUGGGGAGUACGGCCGCAAAUUG
rnacentral:rRNA from 1 species